rnacentral:rRNA from 1 species
UGGGGAAUAUUGGACAAUGGGCGAAAGCCUGAUCCAGCCAUGUCGCGUGUGUGAAGAAGGCCUUUUGGUUGUAAAGCACUUUAAGCGAGGAGGAGGCUACUUGGAUUAAUACUCUAGGAUAGUGGACGUUACUCGCAGAAUAAGCACCGGCUAACUCUGUGCCAGCAGCCGCGGUAAUACAGAGGGUGCGAGCGUUAAUCGGAUUUACUGGGCGUAAAGCGUGCGUAGGCGGCUUUUUAAGUCGGAUGUGAAAUCCCUGAGCUUAACUUAGGAAUUGCAUUCGAUACUGGGAAGCUAGAGUAUGGGGGAGGAUGGUAGAAUUCCAGGUGUAGCGGUGAAAUGCGUAGAGAUCUGGAGGAAUACCGAUGGCGAAGGCAACCAUCUGGCCUAAUACUGACGCUGAGGUACGAAAGCAUGGGGAGCAAACAGG